rnacentral:rRNA from 1 species
UACGGAGGGUGCAAGCGUUAAUCGGAAUUACUGGGCGUAAAGCUCACGCAGGUGGCUAGAUAAGUCGGAUGUGAAAGCCCCGGGCUCAACCUGGGAACUGCAUUCGAUACUGUUUGGCUAGAGUAUGAGAGAGGGAGGUAGAAUUCCACGUGUAGCGGUGAAAUGCGUAGAUAUGUGGAGGAAUACCGGUGGCGAAGGCGGCCUCCUGGCUUAAUACUGACGCUGAGGUGCGAAAGCGUGGGGAGCAAACAGG